AGCAUAUCAAUAAGCGGAGGAAAAGAAACUAACAAGGAUUCCCCUAGUAACGGCGAGUGAAGCGGGAAGAGCUCAAAUUUGAAAUCUGGCGGUCUUCGGCCGUCCGAGUUGUAGUUUCGAGAAGCGUUUUCCGCGUCGGACCGUGUACAAGUCCCUUGGAACAGGGCGUCGUAGAGGGUGAGAAUCCCGUCUUUGACACGGACUGCCGGUGCUCUGUGAUGCGCUCUCAAAGAGUCGAGUUGUUUGGGAAUGCAGCUCAAAAUGGGUGGUAAAUUCCAUCUAAAGCUAAAUAUUGGCGAAAGACCGAUAGCGAACAAGUACCGUGAGGGAAAGAUGAAAAGCACUUUGGAAAGAGAGUUAAACAGUACGUGAAAUUGUUGAAAGGGAAACGCUUGAAGUCAGUCGCGUCUCUCGGGACUCAGCCUUGCUCUUCUGCUUGGUGCACUUCCCGAGGCGACGGGCCAGCAUCGAUUUCGACCGUCGGAGAAAGGCUUUGGGAACGUGGCACCUCCGGGUGUGUUAUAGCCCAUGGUCGUAUGCGACGGCUGGGAUCGAGGUUCGCAGCACGCCUUCAUUGGCCGGGGUUCGCCCACGUAACGUGCUUAGGAUGCUGGCGUAAUGGCUUUAAACGACCCGUCUUGAAACACGGACCAAGGAGUCUAACAUGCCUGCGAGUGUUUGGGUGGAAAACCCGGACGCGUAAUGAAAGUGAAAGGUUGGGACCUCUGUCGUGGAGGGCACCGACGCCCGGACCAGACCUUCUGUGACGGUUCCGAGGUAGAGCAUGUAUGUUGGGACCCGAAAGAUGGUGAACUAUGCCUGAGUAGGGUGAAGCCAGAGGAAACUCUGGUGGAGGCUCGUAGCGAUUCUGACGUGCAAAUCGAUCGUCGAACUUGGGUAUAGGGGCGAAAGACUAAUCGAACCAUCUAGUAGCUGGUUCCUGCCGA
rnacentral:rRNA from 1 species